rnacentral:rRNA from 1 species
GAGCAACGCCGCGUGAGUGAUGAAGGUUUUCGGAUCGCAAAGCUCUGUUGCCAAGGAAGAACGUCUCAUACAGUAACUGCUAUGACAGUGACGGUACUUGAGAAGAAAGCCCCGGCUAACUACGUGCCAGCAGCCGCGGUAAUACGUAGGGGGCAAGCUUUGUCCGGAAUUAUUGGGCGUAAAGCGCGCGCAGGCGGUUCUUUAAGUCUGGUGUUUAAACCUGGGGCUCAACUUCAGGUCGCACUGGAAACUGGGGAACUUGAGUGCAGAAGAGGAGAGUGGAAUUCCACGUGUAGCGGUGAAAUGCGUAGAUAUGUGGAGGAACACCAGUGGCGAAGGCGACUCUCUGGGCUGUAACUGACACUG